UACAGAGGUGGCAAGCGUUGUUCGGAUUUACUGGGCGUAAAGGGCGCGUAGGCGGCCACGACAAGUCACUUGUGAAAUCUCCGGGCUUAACUCGGAACGGUCAAGUGAUACUGUCGGGCUAGAGUGCAGAAGGGGCGAGUGGAAUUCCUGGUGUAGCGGUGAAAUGCGCAGAUAUCAGGAGGAACACCGACGGCGAAGGCAGCUCGCUGGGACGGUACUGACGCUGAGGCGCGAAAGCGUGGGGAGCGAACAGGAUUAGAAACCCCU
rnacentral:rRNA from 1 species